CAACGUGGCCCGGUUGCUUUGCAGGAGAAGCAGUCAGCAGCCAAGCUGGCAGAGGCCCUGCGGGAGCAGGCUGAGAUCGAGAAGGUGCUGAGGAAAGAACGCGAGUGCCUCCGGGAGAGACGCGAGGGCCUCCAAGGGCAGACAGUGGGGGGGAAGACGGAGCAGGCGGCCAGGCUGUCCACGUCACUUAUGCGGGAGAUGGUGGCUGUGAAGCUGGUAGGACGGACAAGCCCGACGUGGGCCUUGGGGAAGAAAGGGUGUGCAGGGCACCCGCUGGCUUUGGGGGCACUGGUCU